rnacentral:rRNA from 1 species
GACGGAGGAUGCAAGCGUUAUCCGGAAUGAUUGGGUUUAAAGGGUCCGUAGGCGGUUUAAUAAGUCAGUGGUGAAAUCUGGUCGCUUAACGAUCAAACGGCCAUUGAUACUGUUAGACUUGAAUUACUAGGAAGUAACUAGAAUAUGUAGUGUAGCGGUGAAAUGCUUAGAUAUUACAUGGAAUACCAAUUGCGAAGGCAGGUUACUACUAGUGGAUUGACGCUGAUGGACGAAAGCGUGGGGAACGAACAGG